AUUGAACGCUGGCGGCAUGCCUUACACAUGCAAGUCGAACGGCAGCAUGGAGAGCUUGCUCUCUGAUGGCGAGUGGCGAACGGGUGAGUAAUGCAGCGGAACGUACCGUGUAAUGGGGGAUAACGUAGCGAAAGUUACGCUAAUACCGCAUACGACCUGAGGGUGAAAGCAGGGGAUCGCAAGACCUUGCGUUAUACGAGCGGCCGAUGUCAGAUUAGCUAGUUGGUGAGGUAAAGGCUCACCAAGGCGACGAUCUGUAGCGGGUCUGAGAGGAUGAUCCGCCACACUGGGACUGGGGCACGGCCCAGACUCCUACGGGAGGCAGCAGUGGGGAAUUUUGGACAAUGGGGGCAACCCUGAUCCAGCCAUGCCGCGUGAGUGAAGAAGGCCUUCGGGUUGUAAAGCUCUUUCGGCCGGGAAGAAAUCGCACAGGCUAAUACUCUGUGUGGAUGACGGUACCGGCAUAAGAAGCACCGGCUAACUACGUGCCAGCAGCCGCAGUAA
rnacentral:rRNA from 1 species